CGUUCCAGCGAGGAAAACGUGGGAAAUGUUUCUGAAAAAAAAUCUGUUUCUUUUCCCAACGUCUACAAGGUGUGGAGGGAGGCCGUUGGUGUCCGAGCGAGGGCUGCGUCCCUUGUUUGCAAACCGGGAAAGGAUGUGAACACAUUUAGCCUGCGUUUGCAGGUUCAAGACGGCGAAGAGGUGCUGCUCGUGUGGGGGCCCCCCUUUCUUUCCUUUCAGAAACCCCUUCCUCUUCUGAGCUCCCUCCUUCCUUUUUCCAUUUGCAGAAGCCCCCCCCCCGACACCACCUCCACCCCCAGACUGGCUGCAGAUUCCCUUGGUGGAGGCAGAGAAGAAGACUUUUGGGGGGGGGGCAUCCUUGGGGAGAUCGUGCGGGGAAGCCAUGGAGGUGCCCUCGCAGUGGGGCCUCGAUACCUUCGAGGAGAUGGCGGUGCACUUCACGGCUUUCCACGGAGGAGGGCUGGGCGCGCUGAGGGCCCAGACGGAGGGCUUGGCGGAAAGGGACUACCGAGGAGAACUCUGGAGCUGCGGGAACCUCCCUCCGCUGAACAGCACCUCCGCUCCCGCGGCGCCCACUGGGGCAGAGGNGG